GACGAACGCUGGCGGCGUGCCUAAUACAUGCAAGUCGAACGCACUCUCGUUUAGAUUGAAGGAGCUUGCUCCUGAUUGAUAAACAUUUGAGUGAGUGGCGGACGGGUGAGUAACUCGUGGGUAACCUGCCCUAAAGUGGGGGAUAACAUUUGGAAACAGAUGCUAAUACCGCAUAAAACCUAACACCGCAUGGUGUAGGGUUGAAAGAUGGUUUCGGCUAUCACUUUAGGAUGGACCCGCGGUGCAUUAGUUAGUUGGUGAGGUAAAGGCUCACCAAGACCGUGAUGCAUGGCCGACCUGAGAGGGUAAUCGGCCACACUGGGACUGAGACACGGCCCAGACUCCUACGGGAGGCAGCAGUAGGGAAUCUUCCACAAUGGACGAAAGUCUGAUGGAGCAACGCCGCGUGAGUGAAGAAGGUUUUCGGAUCGUAAAAACUCUGUUGUUGGAGAAGAAUGUAUCUGAUAGUAACUGAUCAGGUAGUGACGGUAUCC
rnacentral:rRNA from 1 species